GGGUAUAUAGCUUGGUGGUAGACUAUAUGCUUAGCAUGCUCAAGGUCCUGGGUUCAAAUCCCAGUACCUCCA
rnacentral:tRNA from 1 species